UAGAAAAUAAAAAGUUGAAAAAUGAAGUCCUUGAGUUGAAAAAUUCUCUUUCAAAAUUUUUAAAAGGCAAGGACAAACUUGAUGAAAUUUUAGACUCUCAAAGGUCUCCUAGCAUCAAGUAUGGCCUUGGCUAUGAUAAAUCAACUCAAGCAAACUUUUCUAAAACCGUUUUUGUUAAAGCUACUAACUCACAUGAACCUAAGGUUUCUAGCUCAAAUGGAAAUGUGCCUAAAGCCUCUACUAGUAAUAUGUCUAUGAGAAAUGCACAUGUACACCAAUCCACUAGUUACAACACUCAUAUAAGACACACAC
rnacentral:lncRNA from 1 species